rnacentral:rRNA from 1 species
GGGUCGAAACGACCUUAACCUAUUCUCAAACUUUAAAUGGGUAAGAAUCUCACCUUUCUUGGUAUGAAGGUUGUGAUUGUGAUAUAAAUGUGCCCAGUGGGCCACUUUUGGUAAGCAGAACUGGCGCUGUGGGAUGAACCAAACGUAAUGUUACGGUGCCCAAAUUAAUAACUCAUGCAGAUACCAUGAAAGGCGUUGGUUGCUUAAAACAGCAGGACGGUGGACAUGGAAGUCGUAAUCCGCUAAGGAGUGUGUAACAACUCACCUGCCGAAGCAACUAGCCCUUAAAAUGGAUGGCGCUUAAGUUAUAUACCUAUACAUUACCGCUAAAGUAAAUGGUUUAUAUUCAAUUUAAAUUUUUUUAAUUUGGAUAAUAAAUUUUGAUACUUUAGUGAGUAGGAGGGUACGAUGGUGUGCGUAGAAGUGUUUGGCGUAAGCCUGCAUGGAGCCGCCAUUGGUACAGAUCUUGGUGGUAGUAGCAAAUAAUCGAAUGAGACCUUGGAGGACUGAAGUGGAGAAGGGUUUCGUGUGAACAGUGGUUGAUCACGAGUUAGUCGGUCCUAAGUUCAAGGCGAAAGCUGAAAAUUUUCAAGUUAUAAUAUUAAUAAUAAUAUAUUUAUGUGUAAUGAAACACUUGAAAAUUAAUUGAACGAAAGGGAAUACGGUUCCAAUUCCGUAACCUGUUGAGUAUCCGUUUGUUUAUUAAAUGUGGGCCUUGUGCUCAUCCUGGCAACAGGAACGACCAUAAAGAAGCCGUCGAGAGAUAUCGGAAGAGUUUUCUUUUCUGUUUUAUAGUCGUAUUACCAUGGAAGUCUUUCGAAGAGAGAUAUGGUAGAUGGACUAGAAGAGCAUGACAUUUACUGUUGUGUCGAUAUUUUCUCCUCGGACCUUGAAAAUUUAUGGUGGGGUCACGCAAACUUCUCAACAGGCCGUACCAAUAUCCGCAGCUGGUCUCCAAGGUGAAGAGUCUCUAGU